UUGUAGUUCCCAUGACAAUAUGUAAGAGAGACCUAUGUAUAAUUUAUAUUUAUUUGCUGUCAGACUGCAUUCCUCUUAUCCUGGCUCUGUUCCAAGAAACCAUUAGCAUUACAGCAAUUAGUGUGAGGAAAAUAAGGUUUCUUCAGCCUGCAUUUCAAGAGGACUCUAGGACCUCUGCAGCAGUGACGGCAUUCCUUGCCUAGAUGCCCAAAUAGAUGGAACAUUAUUAAAACUGAUUUCUGAUGCUGAUUUGUGCUCUUCCUUUUCUCCAUCUAUUAUAUUUCUCUGAUUAAACUAAUUCCUGGAAUGAUAAAUGCAGUCUCCUUAGCAAAGGGGAAGAACUUUCCCACGUUCAUGUUCACAACAUCAGGAGAUUUGCCUCAUCAGAUAGUUUAAAAUACACUCCAAAAUAACUUUUUGGUCAUUAAGAAGGAAGUGACAAAAAUAUGAUUCUGUUUUGCACCUUCAGAGUACAUGGAAUUUCUUGCAGUUUCUAACAUUGGGGAGCACAAUCCCACCUCACUGCCAUUGCAUCUUAAGUGGUAGAAGAGGGGCAAGUGGGGAGCACAUUUGAAAAUCCCCACGGACACAGUGGUGACCACUAAAUCUUUCUGCAAAAUGUCACUGCAUCGUCAGUGCCUGGCUUGAAAAAAGUUGAUUGCUUUCCAUGAUGCAAGCCUUCCAGAUAAAUACGUUGAUGUCACUGGUAGGUACAGCCAGGCUGGCAUUUGCAGAACCUACGACAGCUCAAUGAAGCUGAGCAGGCUCAGAUAGGCAAUGGAAUUACAAGCAAUAUCACACCACCAUUUGCUCUGACGAGAGCAAGGAAUAAUUGCUGUGGCUAAAAACUCAAAUUUUCACUGUCUGACAGAGUGUACUUGCUGAGGAAAAGUCACAGUUUGUGCUAGGUUACUAGCUGGUGUCUGUAAUACACAGAGCAAUAGAUGCUACAGAGGGUUUAGUUAGGAAAAAUGCAUCUUAGCACUUUGUAAUAGCUGCUGGGGCACACAGGCUCUGUUCAAGUGAAACCACGGCCAUCUUUCUUUAUCUUGGUAAGACACCGCAUUCACGUUUUCACCAAAGCAGCAAAAUGACUUUUCAUUAUGUGCACUGCUGUUGCUUCUUGGUGGGGGAUGCCCUCACAGACCACCCCUUUUGAGGUGGUGAGAAAGUGUCUUUCUCUUUCCCUGAACCAAAGGAAGAAAACUACAAGCUGUUAGUUGAGAAAUAGGGCCGGCUGAUGUACUUGAGUUAAAUCUCUAAUUUGCUGGCACAUUAUGGGCGAGUUGCUUCAUUUUCUGCAUUUUUGUUUUCCCCUUUACUUGAACCAUAUUGGCCACCAUUUGGGAAAGAAUUGCAAUUUGGAAAAGUGUUAAUUGCCCUUAAUAUGAAUGAAUGUCUUAGUGCUUUCCUGAAUGAGGCCUGGUGGUGCUGGAGUAUAGAAUACGCAGAAGAGCAAACUACGUUUUUCACUAAAGAUAAUGUGUUUAUGCCGGGACUGAGACUGGAGUGCCAAAGCAUCAGAUAGAAAUUUUCCAAUUUUUUUUUAAUGAAAAUGAAUUGUGUCUAAUUCUUUGCCUUGUAAAGUGUCUCUCUUACUGAAACUAACUGAACUGAAAACUGUGAGAAUAUGACACAAACUUUUCAGUUUUCCACCAGAAUCUCUCAGCUGUCUGAAGAACUUUGCCAAUCUGUCCUAAAAGUACUUGCAGUGGAAUUGUCAGGUCACGGCCUGAACCAGUGGUUGAGCACCAGGUGAGAAGGUGUGGGUAACUCAGGGAGCUCACUGCAAGCAAUGCGUUUGAGUAACUGGAAAAGGCUGGAGCGUGGAUACACCCCUCCUCACCCUCAUUUAAGUGUUAGCAGCCAAGGGAGCAGCAUCUCUCUAGAUAGGGAUUGCAUUCUUCUUGAGCUGUCUCAAGUUGCUGGAAGGAAUGAGCCAUUUUUAAUUCUUUAUUACCCACUAUUGCUCUGUAGUGCCUGUAUCCCAUUUGAAGGCACUGUCAUUGCCUUCUUUUGCCAUAUAGUAAUAUAUAAGUAGUCUUGUAGAUGUAUUUAUGGGUGCUCACUUUCUAUAUAACUGGUAUACAAAAUAAGCAAUCAAAUGAUUAAGAAAUUAAGGUAGUGUAACUACAAUUUUAUCAAUAUUUUAUUAUAAUGUUGUAUAAUUCUAUGAACGCAUACAAUCAGGAUUAGGGAUUCAGGGGAAAAAACGCCAUGAUUUUUCUUCACAGUGAAAAAUUUUCAUGUAUCAAUCUGGACAGAUGAAGGCCCCUUCUGACAUCCUCUCCCACUGAAGUCAAUGGGAAAGUACAGCCCAUGAGUUCUCUGUUAUUAGGUGACAGACUUUUCUACCUACUUUUUCUUGUUUAAUUGAUUUCUUCUUCCUGAAUUUAUAGCCAUGCUGCUUUUUUUGGAACUGCAGUGUGGUCUUGCUUUCACGUACUAUUUUGUUGUGAUUAAUCCUUCCCACACUUAAGAACUGCCUGUGCUUUGCUUACGUUUAUUUUAUUAAGUGGAAUAUACAUCAUAAAGUUUUUGUGUUGCUUAUGUUCAAUGCUAGUUGAUAAGAACCAUAUAUUUGAAGAAAUGGAGAAAAGUAGAUUGAAGGCUUCCUGUCCUCUCAUGGGAAGCCUUCCCUUAGAUGAAAUGAUGAAUUUGUUAACAGAUGCGAAUGGGUGAUACAAUAGUCUCACUAUGGGCAGGCUAACUGUAUCAGUGGUUUGAAUCUUAGUGCCUUUAGAUAAUGACUUUCUUGUGAGCAGAAAUCACACGUCCAUAUUUCUUUCCCUGUUGCAUAGGUGCUGUUUCCUUAGUGAUGGAUCGCGGAUUGUGGCCCAACUCAGUGAGUCAAAGUAGAGCAAUUCACUCAGGGAUAUAUUUUUGAGGGGAGGUGCACGAUUUCUUUUUUCAGUCGUGAUGCCCUCUGAAAGGGAGCUUGCUGUAAGUUCUAAUCUCGCAAUGCAGUGAUUGCCUCUGAUAGGCAUAGCAGGUAAACAUCAGGAAAACAAAAGAGAUCAUUAAACAAGCAACCAGCGCUGCGCACAGCUGCUGCACUGCAGAACUGAACCCGAGAUUUAAAGUUGCCGUGAUGCUGCAUCACAGUGCCUCCACCCUUCUGAACCUCCACCCCCCCAACCCGCAGGGGAGGAUGAACACUCUUCCCAGCAAACUUCUUUGAUUCACGUAUUUUAUAAUUAUUUGAUGUUAUACCUUGCAGGGAUAGACAACGAGCGGACGACUACGAGCAACUUUACAGAGGGGAUUUGUUCUGCUGCUUCCCUUACAGCACAGCCCUGUGGUCUUCCUAGCAGACGUUGCCUCACAGUGUCACCACGUUCUCUAGAUAGCCAGCAACUGCACUGCAAGGACAAGUAGGCAGCAGAGUAGCGAGGGAUGGAAGAUAUUUUAUGUGGAUGAACACAUGAAGAGAAGCAGGGAAAAUGGACAACCCCGCUGGUAGCUUGUGAGCCCCUGUCACAGAACAGAGCUUCGACAAUUUCAAUUAAAGCAGUAUGUUCGAGACCGUCAUUAGACCUGCAUUAAAUUACAUAUCUGGAAUGUUAAAAAUAAAGAGUACUGAAGCUUAUUCACAGCUGCCGGUGGUAAAGUAUGUAGUCAAGGUUUUGAUUAUCUUUAAAGUUUGUAUUUUUCCCUUUUCUAAAACUUAUUGUUUCGUCAAACAAAUAUCUAGCACAUUUAAGAACAGUGUGAGCACAUGGGCAGAACUGCUUAUGAAGGAUAAGGCAUGAGUGUGUUUCCAUUGUGUGCUCCACAGUAUUGUUUAGUGCUAACAAUGGUAAUUUAUCAAUUAUACAAGAGGGAACAAAGCUCUUUGCCUGUCUCCUAGCUCUGGAGCUACCUAUUACAAGGACCAAAGCUUUGAGAACCUUUCCCAGACUUUGGGAGGCAUCAUUUAAUGUUAAUCACGUGUAUUGCCAGCUUCUGCUUUGUCCUCUGUGAGUGACCCCAUGGAGGCUGCUCAGUGCUCAGCACCGUGGCACAUCAGGACUGCCACGCAUUAUUUUUCUAAACCAGGAAAAUUAUGGCCUUUUCUUUUUUUUUUUUUUUUCUUUUCUCUUGAUCCAGGGAUCUUAAUAAUGAGGUACGCCUGCUCACCAGCCCUCCUUCUUCAGCCUCUUGGCUAGCAGGCCAGAACUUCUAGUCCCUAUUUCGGUGCUGCUUAUCAUGGCAUUAGAAAUGCCAUUAGAGAGCAAUCUUAGGAAAACGAUGUUGGGUGCUGUUUGGCCAGCCUAAAUGCUAAAAGAUGGUAUGUCUGACGUUGAGCUGUCUAUAUGACAGCUUUGUUAUGUACUCCUAAAGUGCGCUAUAACAGUGUUUGCUUCUAUGUAAGGAUCAAGCUGGUUACUUUUAUUUGAUUCUGUAAAGUUCUUUGUUAUCUUAACGUGAAUAUAAAUGUGCAAGUGAAAAUAUCUCUGUUUUAUUAAGAGUUUCAAUUAAUGUGUUUAAUACACAGAUUUUAUCACGAGAGAGGCAUCACAAAGACUGAGUACAACAUAAUGGAAAGCCAGGUAUUGUUAUGAUUAUUAUUACUAUUAUUUAUAUAUAAUCAUUGAAGUAUUAACUGAAAACUGGGAAAUUGAGUUCCUGGCCCCAAAGAGCACAUAAUAACAUCUUUUCUGGGGGGAGGCAACAAUAGCAAACCAGUUCUGUUUUGUGGCAUGAUUAAUGGUGCAUACAGUGCAGUGUGGAGAUUCCUCAUUCUGGCUGGGUUGUCCCACUUCCAAAGAUCAAACCAGCCAAAAAAUAUCAGUUGCAUCCAUCAUAGCCUGCCUUAUUUGUUUAGGUGCCUUUUACUCUUCCCCAAACCCUUUUUUCUCUGCCUGUUUGGGUGAAGGGUAUCCCCACACGCUAAAGCUCUGACCUGUUUUUGCAAUGAGGCAGCUGGAGAGUUCUCAUCAAAGUGGUAUCAGAAUGCUUUGACAAGGGACUGAAGGACAGGACCUAAAUGGGCAGCAGCUCAGCUGCAGAAGUUUCCAUGUGAAGCUGGCACUUCUGAAGGCCACCAAGCCCCAGCAUCUCUCCCAGUCACCAUCCUUGAGUGGACUGGAAGACAUGCUUCCUUGCAAUAUGGCCAUUUCCCAUGGGGGUGGCCCUGAAAAGCACCACUUGCUGUCCUCAGGGUUCCCCUCAAGCCAAGUCCUCUCAUCUUUGCCAGGAGUUGUAGGUAGCUACACAAUCUGGAAAUGCCAGCUUUAUCCUCACUUUUCCCAUCACCUCCUAUGAAGAUAAUUUAAGAGAAUAAUCUGAGAUUUUUAGAUGCCUUGGCCUCCUGAAAGCGAAAAAGCAGUGUUCACAUUAGCUCUAAAACAAGCAUAAAUAUUUCAAAAGGAGUAACCUCAAUGGAGACUGUAUCAUCAAAACAGCUAAUGGUCUAAGCAACAUCAAAGGAAAUGCAGGACUGGCCCAAAAUCUGGGUCUUUAUGUGAAGAAGCCAUGCUCCUUGCCACAGCAAGGAGAUGAAGCUGAGAGACUUUUGUUUUGCCUUAGCUGUUUCCUAAGCCUGACCCUGGACAACACGAGAAAGCUACAGGGAAGAUUUUCUGUUUGAACCUUCAUUCCCUUGUAGACUCCAGAUGCUGAGCUCAACUACUCUAGAAAAGAAGCUGGAGAUCUGCUGCCCAACAAAUGAGAUCUCAGAAAAUGAACCUCCCACUCACUAGAAUACACCAUACUCUACAACAAACAGCAAGAGAUACGUUUUCUUACCUCUGAAAAUUCUGCUUGUGUUGCUCACUAGAACUAAUUUUUACCAUUUCUGACUCCAGCAAUGUGGCAAUGAAGUGACAACUAAGGAAGAGCAACUGUUCCGCUGUCAGGUUCAAAACCAGGUCAGAUUUUUGGGUUUGAUAGAAAACAAUCAUAGAAUCAUAGAAUCCUUAGAGUUAGAAGGGACCUUUAAAGGUCAUCUAGUUCAACUCCCCUGCAAUGAACAGGGAUAUGCACAGUUAGAUCAGGUUGCCCAGGGCCUGAUCCUGCCUCACCUUGAAAGUCUCCAGGGACGGGGCAUCAACCAUAUCUCUAGGCAAAUAAAUCAGGAAAACACGCUGGUUCAAUGUGUUGAAAAAGACUGCAAAUUUAUUAUUUGCUCCCACAAAAACGAUUCAAUUAGAGAGAUGCAAACCUCGUGAUAAUGGGGACAUACUUUCAAGUGAAAACACAAGCCUCUAGGGAUAGCCAUUGAUUGGCACCGAGUACGGUGAGGGUUCAGAUGGGGCUACAGGGAACACCUCAUAGAAAGCACCAUUUAUGGUCUUCGUUUCAGUCCUGUCUGUGGGGUGUUUGAGCUCACAAAUGUUUGGGUAAUGAAGAUUGCAAGCCACCCCCCCACUCAAAAAAAAAGCUAUUUUGCUUUCCCGUGGCUGAGGUUAGAAGGUGAAUGAAAGAGUUAAUCCCAGCCUGCCCUGCAAAAGGGAACAGCUUACAUUUGUAAGACUUCAAAAGCCUUUGCAGUAUGUGGAUGGAUGCUGUUAUUUCCUGCCAGAGCAGAACCAAAAAGUUGAGGGAGAUGGUUCGUGGAGGAGGAGCUGUAUUUUUAACUGUCAGCUGGAGUGAAAAUAAAAAGAUCAGUGUAAAAUAUUUUGGAGAGUGGACUCCAGUUCAGUAAUAUUCUGGAACUUCUGGUUCCCAAAUGGAGGACCACCACACACUUCUUAGCUAACCACCUUCAGCUUCCUGCACUACCAGCCUCCAGAAAGCCUCAGUUCUGUGAUACAAGUUGGCCACUCCUUAGAGAAAUAGAACUUGCUCUUAAGCAGUGUCUGGUAUUUGAAUUAGGGAAAAUGUGACCAAGUCUUUCUUGGAGUCUUCUGCCAAUGGACAGACACAUUACUCCAUGGUUCUGCUGCACUUGGCAGCAUUUUAGAAGUUUCUGAGGCUUGUAGUUCACAGAGUUUUGCUUCACUGAGAUUGUGCUAGCCGUGUGAGUGGCAGCAGGCUGGGACAAAGCCAUCUUGAAAUAGGUGCUUAAUUACAAAAUAAGCCUUUCCGAGCCUCUUUUUAUUUUUGUAUUAUUUUGAUUCUAGCCUUUUGUAACCACAGGAGGACUUUGUAGGCAGAGGAUGUGCAUGCGUUUUGUCCUGUGGGCAUGCUGAGAGGGUGUGGAAACUCCUGCUUAGUGCCCACGGGCAGCUCUCCGUUGUGCCCAGCCGAUCACUGGGCAGGCAGUGAUUCAUAAGGAGAACUGGGUAUCUGUCUUCCAGCACUGAGGGAAGGGUUAUUGCAAAGGAUAGAAAAAUUACCUCAGGCCUUAUUAGGUUUUCUGGAAAAAUAUAUACUACUGCUGUGGGCUACUUUUAUGCCUCGAUGACUUGGUGUCCCACUGCACAGAUGAGGGUCCAUACUAAGGAACAGUGUAAAUGUUAUAGUCGAUAUCGCUUGCCAGAGAAACUGCACUGCAAUUUCUUUUUUCUUCUUUUCUUCCUUUUGUGUGAGGCUCCUGUGCUACCGGCUAACCAUUUGCUAUAAGGCAUUGUGUUAAAGUUAUAUAGUGUAUCAUAUUAAAUUUUAUAACAGUGCUUUGUGUUUUGAAAAGACUUGGGGGGGAAACAGCAUCAAUCAGGGAGCCACAUUUGAUAGACUUGGAAGGGGCCUCCUGGGUCAUUUUGUCCAAGACCUCUAUGAAACAGGAAGGCUUCUGCAAAAUACCUUUCCCAUAAAUGUAUCUAACCUUUCCUUAAAGACACUGAGUGAUUGUGCCAUAAAUACCUCAAGCAGGUAAACUAGUCUGAUUGACCUUACAAUCAAAAAGUGUCUCCUAAUACUGUAUAUAAGGUACAAUUUUCCUUUCUUUCAGCUGUAGCUAAGCAAGAAAAAAGGGCAAACACACAGUAAUGGACAACAAUACAGACUGUGCAAACAGUUUUGCUUUCACUUUACUGCCAUCAUCCACCAUAAAUCUGGAUGCACCAUUGAUACUUGGUUUCCCAGAGUAGCAUCUGCGAUCCUUGUAGUAUCUAUCUCACUUUGUCUCUGACUUUUGGAGAGCCAACAUUACAGUGUGUAGAAAUAACGAAGAUGUACAGGCAGCACUUUCCAAUUCAGAAAGCCAUUCAAAACCCUACGCCAUAUAGUUUAAGUAUUUAUUUCUAUUUUCCAUUUAUUAGAAUUUGUGGGUUGUUUCUUGUCAGGACCAUGGGAGCUAGGGGAAGCGCAAGGCUUUCUACAUCUCCAUCAGAGUGUCAAAGAAUGAUUUACAUUCUCCUCCAACAAUUGUGCAUGCUGAAAAAUAAAUACCUGGUAGUUUAGCUGAUUGUUGUUGCAAUAGGGAUGCAUUGUGUGCUGGUUAUUACCCCCUACUUUUAUGCCUUCAGGGCAUCACAUGUUGAUUUCCAAGAGCUUCUUGAGCAGUAUAUAAACUACCCUUGGUUUUCUUUUUCCUUUGCAAGCACCAAAAACUGUGAUAGAAUGGAAGAGCUGCUGUCCCACUGCUAAACUCAUUUCUGCCAGGCACAUGCUUCUAGAAAGGGGUUGUCUCAUGGUGCCAUCUCAUGUAAGCUGAUCCCUACUUUGAAUCAUAGAAUCACAGAAUCAGUAAGGUUGGAAAAGACCACUAAGAUCACCUGGUCCAGCCACCAGCCCAUCCCCAUCAUAUCCACUGACUACAUCCCUCAGUGUCACACCUCCUCGCUUCUCGAACAUUUCCAGGGAUGGUGACUCCACCACCUCCUUGGGCAGCCUGUGCCUGCCUGCCAGUUCUCUUUCUGAGAACAAAUUUUUUUCUACUAUCCAACCUGAACCUCCUCUGGCACAACUUAAAGCCGUUAUCUGCCAUCCUAUCAAUAUUACUUAAUUCCUUCUGGAUGGUAGGAGAAGGUUAGACACCCUUCAGCGUAUCCUUACAGUUGCCAGGGGAAAAGCAUGACUUAAAAAACUGAAUACGCAGACAAUCUUGGUGCCAGUGAGGCACUGUUGUCAGCUGUAAGAAAGUACACCUUCUUACAGUUAUAUGUGAGGUUUUAUCGUUGUCACCAGCCACUUCCUGAGCAUAUGGCAUCACACCAAAAUGAUACACCAAAGAGGCCCAGUAAAAACUCAGAAAAAGGUUUGGGACAAGUACUGUUGUAAGUGAUCCCCAGCAGGCCCAGCCUUUCUGUACUAGACAAUUGUCAUUAGAACACUACUCACAAUUUGAACCAGACAAUUGUACUUCAGAGUGUCUGAGGAAGGCUGUGGAGGAAUUUCUUCCUGAGAAGCUCUGCAAAAGAAGUUUUAGAAGUUUAAGGCAUCCUGAGAUUGGUUUUAAUGUUUAUUUGUUGUUCCGGGGUAGAUUGGGCUGCCUUAAUUUGUUUGGUUGGCUAUUAUUGUUUUGUCAUAUUUGGACUUUUCAUACACAGAGGAAUGUUGCAUAAUGGGUCAGGAAAACUGUUAACUCUUACAAGCAAAAGACAGAAGAAGACAAUUUAGAAAGAAUAUGGUGAUACCGGUGAUACUUUAUGCCUCAGGCCUCCAU